UAGGGAAUAUUGCAAAAUGGGCGAAAGCCCGAUGCAGCAACGCCGCGUGGGCGAUGAAGGCCUUCGGGUCGUAAAGCCCUUUUUGAGGGGAUGAGGAAGGACAGUACCCUCAGAAUAAGCCUCGGCUAACUACGUGCCAGCAGCCGCGGUAAAACGUAGGAGGCGAGCGUUAUCCGGAUUUACUGGGCGUAAAGCGCGUGCAGGCGGGUUGGAGAGUUGGAUGUGAAAGCUCCCGGCUUAACUGGGAGAGGUCGUUCAAUACUUCCAGUCUUGAGUGCAGUAGAGGGAAGUGGAAUUCCGGGUGUAGUGGUGAAAUGCGUAGAUAUCCGGAGGAACACCAGUGGCGAAAGCGGCUUCCUGGACUGUAACUGACGCUCAGACGCGAAAGCUA
rnacentral:rRNA from 1 species